rnacentral:lncRNA from 1 species
UUUCAUUAUAUAGCUAAAUUAUACCUUCUCUUGCUAAUAUUUCUUCCUGAAUACAUUAAAUGUGUGGUUCCCAAACCAUGUGCAGAGAUGCCCCAGGGUGCUGAGCAAACUCACCAGUGCACUGUAGGAUGUUUUAAAAUUUCAAGAGAAACACAGCGACAUCUGCUGGACUCUGUGCAAACUACUAGUUUGAGGCAAUUCAGUCUCAUUAGAUUGUCCUACAGUCCUUUCAAUAACAUCAUGUACUUUCAAAGCUGGGUUUUGGCUAUUCCCAUGACGAAAAUGAAAGUAUGAUGCAAAAAUCAACAUGCACAGGAAAUGAGGUUGGUGAUGAGAAAUCAGAUUCCAAGGCUUGACUAGAUGUGUAGAGCCCAACAGCAGCGCACACAGUAACAUGAAGUCAUUCUGGUUAUUAAAGAAUGAAUUGGGUCCCUCUCCCUCUCUCCCUCUCCCUCUCUCCCUCUCCCUCUCCCCACGGUCUCCCUCUCCCUCUCUUUCCAUGGUCUCCCUCUGAUGCCGAGCCGAAGCUGGACUGUACUGCUGCCAUCUCGGCUCACUGCAGCCUCCCUGCCUGAUUCUCCUGCCUCAGCCUGCCGAGUGCCUGCGAUUGCAGGCGCGCGCCGCCACGCCUGACUGGUUUUCGUAUUUUUUUGGUGGAGACGGGGUUUCGCUGUGUUGGCCGGGCUGGUCUCCAGCUCCUAACUGCGAGUGAUCCGCCAGCCUCGGCCUCCCGAGGUGCCGAGAUUGCAGACGGAGUCUGGUUCACUCAGUGCUCAAUGGUACCCAGGCUGGAGUGCAGUAGCGUGAUCUCGGCUCGCUACAACCUCCACCUCCCAGCCGCCUGCCUUGGCCUCCCAAAGUGCCGAGACUGCAGCCUCUGCCCAGCCGCCACCCCGUCUGGGAAGUGAGGAGCCCCUCUGCCUGGCUGCCCAGUCUGGAAAGUGAGGAGCGUCUCUGCCCGGCCGCCAUCUCAUCUAGAAGUGAGGAGCGCCUCUUCCCGGCCGCCGUCCCAUCUAGGAAGUGAGGAGCGUCUCUGCCCGGCCGCCCAUCGUCUGAGAUGUGGGGAGCGCCUCUGCCCCGCUGCCCCAUCUGGGAUGUGAGGAGCGCCUCUACCUGGCCGCGACCCUGUCUGGGAGGUGAGGAGCGUCUCUGCCCGGCCGCCCCGUCUGAGAAGAGAGGAGACCCUCCGCCUGGCAACCGCCCCGUCUGAGAAGUGAGGAGCCCCUCCGCCCGGCAGCCGCCCUGUCUGAGAAGUGAAGAGCCCCUCCGCCCGGCAGCCACCCCGUCUGGGAAAUGCAGGCUUCCUCUUUAUGCGCAAAUGGAAAUGCUCUGAGCAGUACUUAUUCUACCUGAACAUAGAGGAAGGAAGCCUAGAUGGCUGGCAGAGGAGCACAGCCCCACGUGAAGAUUUCAGCACCUGUCCCUUCUCUGCCCGACGACAAUGGAAGAGCAGGCACCGUGAGAUCCUGGGCUAACCACCUCCUCCCCGCAGCACAACGCAACAUCCUAGCUCCUGGUCUGCGGUUCCCCACCACCCAGCGGAGACCUGAACUCAGUCUGAGGAAAGUCUGAUGCCGCCAUUUCUAACUUAAACAGUAUUUGCCCCACUUCUAGGUAAUAAACUUAUGGGCAGGGCUUUGACCCUAAUAAAAUAACACCUUAAUAAACAGAAUGAGGUGUUGCCUAUUUUAAUGCUAGUGAUUCUAUUUUUACUGCUCUAAACAGGAAAAAGAGGGAGAGAGGGAAAGGGACCAGGAGAAGAAGAGGAAAGAAGAGAGUAAUCAAAACAGGCUUUCCUAGUAUCCUCUUCCAGCUCCAAGAGUUCCCUUUAGUGUCCUCUGGCUCAAGUCAGGGACACUUCACACACUAACUGCUUCCAGUAGGUCAGGUUGUAUUAACAUUAAAAUCCUAUUAACACACCUUUUCUCAAAACACUUCACUUCCUAAAAUUAUUUGAAGUCAAAGAGAAAGAGAGGCUGGGAGCAGUGGCUCACGCCUGUAAAUCCCAACACUUUGGAAGUCCAGGGCAAGAGGAUCGCUUGAGCCUAAGAAUU